rnacentral:rRNA from 1 species
GACGAACGCUGGCGGCGUGCUUAACACAUGCAAGUCGAACGGAAAGGCCCUGCUUUUGUGGGGUGCUCGAGUGGCGAACGGGUGAGUAACACGUGAGUAACCUGCCCUUGACUUUGGGAUAACUUCAGGAAACUGGGGCUAAUACCGGAUAGGAGCUCCUGCUGCCUGGUGGGGGUUGGAAAGUUUCGGCGGUUGGGGAUGGACUCGCGGCUUAUCAGCUUGUUGGGGGGGUAGUGGCUUACAAAGGCUUUGACGGGUAGCCGGCCUGAGAGGGUGACCGGCCACAUUGGGACUGAGAUACGGCGCAGACGCCUACGGGGGGCAGUAGUGGGGAAUUUUGCACAGUGGGCGGAAGCCUGAGGCAGCAGCCCCGGGUUCGGGAUGACGGCCUUCGGGUGGUAAACCGCGUUCGCCUGUGACGAAGAGUGAUUGACGGUAAUGGGUAAAGAAGCACCGGCUAACUACGUG